AUGGGGACGGUGACGGCGCUGUGGGACGUCCUGGCGAAGGCCGCGAACCUGGCGCAGAUGUCCGGCCUGCACGCCGUGAUGCUCGUCGCCGCGGGCGCGAGCCUCAUGCGCAUCCCGCAGAGCAGGCGGGAGUGCGCCAAGCUGGAGCGGUGCAGCCGCAGGCUCCACGCGCUGCUCAAGUGGCCGACGGGCUGUGGCGCCGUGUUGCUCUGCUCGGAGCUGGGAGGCCCCGUGGUGCAGGCGCUCGUCGACGCGGCCGCCCUCGUCGACACCUACCACCGGAGCACGCUCUGGCGCCGCGUCCGGAGCGGCAGGAGCAUGGCGAUCCGGCUCCGCGACAUGCGGGACGUCGUCGACUCGUACUGCGUGCUUCUGCUCUUCAUCAACGCGCAUCUCCUGCUGCAACAGGCGACUAAUCAGGAUCAGCCGCCGCCGCCAGAUGCUACUACUACGUACGUUAAUGUGAGGAUUCAAGAGGCGAAUGAUCCAUCGCAAGGUCAAAGUGUACAAGUAGUGAGCAAUUGCCCCAAACUCGCAGCAAUUCGUGAUAAUCAAAGGGCCAACGAUACUGGCGAUGGAGGAAUGUGCAGUCAGACAGAAGCGUGCGUGCUCUAG
rnacentral:rRNA from 1 species